GUGUCCUUGGUGUAACGGUAACACACAUUCACAGCUCGGUUUCCACCAAUUCGAAUGGUCCGGGGUUCGACUCCCCGAGGACGCC